UAACAACGUGUAUUAAAGCCUCUGUUGUAAAGGCUGACAGUGCUCGGUUAGCACAAUGACUUCAUGUUAGAAAGCACAGCCAAAACGCUAACAGCUUUAAUAAUUAAGCCAAAAGGUACUGUCACUGCUAUUUUUGUGAUUUAAAAGCAACCUGUUUCUUUCAGAUUGUCACGUUACUGAGAAUCCAGCUAUAAGAAGGUAAUAUAGGAAGUUGAUGCUAACUCUGACAGCUGUAUGGCAGCUAACAUUAACUUUAGCUGUCUCCAUGAAGCUCCACGCUAAGCUCCUAUGAUUCGUGAUGCUGUUAGGAAACCAGAACGGGCUAACUGAUGAUAACAUAAGCAUUUUGGCUCAGCGGAUGUCGAUUUUAAAGUCAUGUUAAAACUAUUUCACAUCCUUACAAUUUCUAGCCACAGCCUGUCACUCUACCUAUACUAAUGUUAUAUCUCUGUGAUCUUAAGACCUCACAAUGCCUUGUGU